rnacentral:rRNA from 1 species
CGGUGGAGCAUGUGGUUUAAUUCGAAGCAACGCGAAGAACCUUACCAGGCCUUGACAUGCAGAGAACUUUCCAGAGAUGGAUUGUGCCUUCGGGAACUCUGACACAGGUGCUGCAUGGCUGUCGUCAGCUCGUGUCGUGAGAUGUUGGGUUAAGUCCCGUAACGAGCGCAACCCUUGUCCUUAGUUACCAGCACGUUAUGGUGGGCACUCUAAGGAGACUGCCGGUGACAAACCGGAGGAAGGUGGGGGAUGACGUCAAGUCAUCAUGGCCCUUACGGCCUGGGCUACACACGUGCUACAAUGGUCGGUACAAAGGGUUGCCAAGCCGCGAGGUGGAGCUAAUCCCAUAAAACCGAUCGUAGUCCGGAUCGCAGUCUGCAACUCGACUGCGUGAAGUCGGAAUCGCUAGUAAUCGUGAAUCAGAAUGUCACGGUGAAUACGUUCCCGGGCCUU